ACCAAUAAAAGAUUUUAUAUCAUUAUCAUGUGUAUUCAAUUCAAAAGAUUGGCAAAAAGACGUUUGUAAAAAAAUGAUAUUGAAAAAUAACAUAGAGAAAAUGAAGCAACUUAAGUAGAACAGAGAAACUAAACACUAAACAAGUUCCCACCUUCAAAAUCUUGUUAGUUUAAGGAAGCACCUAGAAAGAAUAUUUUAAUUUGUUUCUUGAACUUCCAUGUAAAUUAAAGACUCUCCACACUUAAUGUUUUGUAAGGAGUAGGUAUUACUCACUAUUGAAAAGUUUGUGUUACUAUAAAAUUAGGGAUAAUUUUUUUUUUUUCAAUAAUAUUAUUUUACCUCAUUAUUGAAAAUUAGUAUCUAAUAACAUCCUUGUACCUCAUAAAACAAAUAUAAUGUAAUUACAGUAAUAUUACCUAACAUUUUUCUUUUGUGAUGAUUGAUAGGGAAUAACGUGCAACGCAUAUUCGUAGAGACUAGUAUAAAAAUAAAGAAGGAUAUGAUACAAUGCAUAUAUAAUUGUAUUAUUCAUCUAAUAUUAGCAAACAAUAGAUUCAAUCACUUUCUUUCUAUGCAAAGUCAAUCUGCUAGAUAUUAUUACAAGUAGUUUAUGGCUACAUGUCCCCUUCUCUUAAUUUAAAAAAUUGCAUAUAAUCUUGAAGCAUAGUAAAAACUUGAGUCCUAAAGUUUCCUCCUGUUUAAUUUUAAAAGGAAAGGACAUAGCUUUCAGACAUGAACAUCACUAUAACAGAACAUGAAACAAUCUGAAUAAGAGCAAAGAGAAAUAAACGGUAAGGAACUCGCAUUUCUUCAGGAAACAAUCAGUUGUGAAGUUUUUGUUCUUCAGCUGAGUGUUUACAUCAACUAAAAGGAACUCGCCUUUCUUCACACGAGAUGAAGUAAUGGCCUGAAAAGUGAGACAGAACAACAAUAUAUUUAUUUAUGAAUUUUAACCAUCAUUUAAUAAUAGUACUUAUUGUAGAAAUACCGUCGAGAUAGCUAACAAAGAACUUCAAAGUGUGAAUCCGUCUUUCACUUCCACUGAAAAAUCCUAAAGGAAUAUUUCAAAAAAGUUGCAUUCAAUCUCAUCAUGUUUAUGAGAUAAAGCAUAAUAAUUUCAGAUACAAUAUCUAACUUGAAAGAGACUAGAAUAACUGUGUAUCAACAAGCCAUUGAAGCAUGAAAAGCAUAUCAAUUUAAUCUAAAAUAAUCAGAACAAUAAAAGAUUAUAACAAAAAAUAACUAAACAUAAGCCAUAAAUAGAAGCUCAAAUAAUAACGCGAUAAUAUAUAGCACCUUUUAACACUCUAUACUAUGAGCAUACUCAGAAAUUAAAAAAACAAAUAGAGGAUUGACAUAGUUAAUUAAUUUACGGAUUAAUUUUGUUAAUAUCAUAACAACUGAAAAAUAUAAAAUUGAAGCAAACUUACAGGACCGGUGGAGCCAAAUCAAGAAAAUAGGAGGAAGUAUAAAUUUACCUGCUAUAUAUCACAUAGCCUAAAUCUAACUUAGAAUUGAACUAAGAUCUAAAUUAACAAACAAAAUACCAGAUCUAGAAGAUUAAAGCGGCAUUAUUACCUUAUAAAAAAAAAGCAUCGUUAAAAAUAAAUAAGCUGCUGUCAAAUUCAACAAAAUUGCUAGAACCAAAAAGUAUUCCAACACAUCCAUACAACAACUACAACUUAAUCCUAAAAUAGUUGGGGUCUACUAUGUAAUCGUCCAAAUCAAAAGAUUAGCAAAGAGAAUACUAGAUCCAGAAGGUUAAAGCAGUAUUCAAAGCAGCUAUCAAAUUCUGUACAAGUGGUAGAACUAAAAAGUGUAUAUAAAAUCAAAAGACAUUGGAAAAAAGUAAUCUUGAACUCACCAAAAGACUCAUUUGAAGAAAUUAGUCAAACCCAUUUGAUGGCGUGUUAAAACAAAACGGAAUAGCUAUGAGCCAGCGAAAUUAGAAAAAGUUAUCAGGAAUGCAUGUUAAUUUGAAUUUCUCGGCAAUUUCAGAAGUUAUAAAGCAAAAACUUUUGCCCAAUUUCGAAAUUUCUUCUAUUCUCCAUUGGAUAUCUAUGUUCCCAUUGUAUAUGAGCCUUAGAUUCACGCCCAAUUUGUUGUAUUGGAAGCAAGAAUCUCACAUUAUUGAAGAUGAUAGAAAGUGGGCGAGUUUGAUAGAGAGAGAGAAUGUGAGUCUGUAAGCAGAUUUGUGCCCUAGAUAAACUUUAAUUUUAAAAAGACACAACGACGGAAAUCGCUACGAAAAUAAUUCUGUCGCUAAUAAUAACUUGGGCAAAAUUGUUUUUACGAAUCUUGCGACGGAAUUUCCGUCGCAAUUAAAUUUGGAAUGUUUUGAUAAAGUAAAAUAAAGGCAGCGACAAAGUUUUUUGUCGUUAAAUCCGUCGCUAUAUUUUAAUAAUUUUU
rnacentral:lncRNA from 1 species